rnacentral:rRNA from 1 species
AGAUUAAGUUAUUAAGGGCGCACGGUGGAUGCCUUGGCACUAGAAGCCGAUGAAGGACGUUACUAACGACGAUAUGCUUUGGGUAGCUGUAAGUAAGCGUUGAUCCAGAGAUUUCCGAAUGGGGGAACCCAGCAUGAGUUAUGUCAUGUUAUCGACAUGUGAAUUCAUAGCAUGUCAGAAGGCAGACCCGGAGAACUGAAACAUCUUAGUACCCGGAGGAAGAGAAAGAAAAAUCGAUUCCCUGAGUAGCGGCGAGCGAAACGGGAAGAGCCCAAACCAACAAGCUUGCUUGUUGGGGUUGUAGGACACUCUAUACGGAGUUACAAAAGAACAUGUUAGACGAAUCAUCUGGAAAGAUGAAUCAAAGAAGGUAAUAAUCCUGUAGUCGAAAACAUAUUCUCUCUUGAGUGGAUCCUGAGUACGACGGAGCACGUGAAAUUCCGUCGGAAUCUGGGAGGACCAUCUCCUAAGGCUAAAUACUCUCUAGUGACCGAUAGUGAACCAGUACCGUGAGGGAAAGGUGAAAAGUACCCCGGAAGGGGAGUGAAAGAGAACUUGAAACCGUGUGCUUACAAGUAGUCAGAGCCCGUUAAUGGGUGAUGGCGUGCCUUUUGUAGAAUGAACCGGCGAGUUACGAUUUGAUGCAAGGUUAAGCAGCAAAUGUGGAGCCGCAGCGAAAGCGAGUCUGAAUAGGGCGUUGAGUAUUUGGUCGUAGACCCGAAACCAGGUGAUCUACCCUUGGUCAGGUUGAAGUUCAGGUAACACUGAAUGGAGGACCGAACCGACUUACGUUGAAAAGUGAGCGGAUGAACUGAGGGUAGCGGAGAAAUUCCAAUCGAACUUGGAGAUAGCUGGUUCUCUCCGAAAUAGCUUUAGGGCUAGCCUCAAGUGAUGAUUAUUGGAGGUAGAGCACUGUUUGGACGAGGGGCCCCUCUCGGGUUACCGAAUUCAGACAAACUCCGAAUGCCAAUUAAUUUAACUUGGGAGUCAGAACAUGGGUGAUAAGGUCCGUGUUCGAAAGGGAAACAGCCCAGACCACCAGCUAAGGUCCCAAAAUAUAUGUUAAGUGGAAAAGGAUGUGGCGUUGCCCAGACAACUAGGAUGUUGGCUUAGAAGCAGCCAUCAUUUAAAGAGUGCGUAAUAGCUCACUAGUCGAGUGACACUGCGCCGAAAAUGUACCGGGGCUAAACAUAUUACCGAAGCUGUGGAUUGUCCUUUGGACAAUGGUAGGAGAGCGUUCUAAGGGCGUCGAAGCAUGAUCGCAAGGACAUGUGGAGCGCUUAGAAGUGAGAAUGCCGGUGUGAGUAGCGAAAGACGGGUGAGAAUCCCGUCCACCGAUUGACUAAGGUUUCCAGAGGAAGGCUCGUCCGCUCUGGGUUAGUCGGGUCCUAAGCUGAGGCCGACAGGCGUAGGCGAUGGAUAACAGGUUGAUAUUCCUGUACCACCUAGUAUCGUUUUAAUCGAUGGGGGGACGCAGUAGGAUAGGCGAAGCGUGCUGUUGGAGUGCACGUCCAAGCAGUAAGGCUGAGUGUUAGGCAAAUCCGGCACUCAUAAGGCUGAGCUGUGAUGGGGAGAGGAAAUUGUUUCCUCGAGUCGUUGAUUUCACACUGCCGAGAAAAGCCUCUAGAUAGAUAACAGGUGCCCGUACCGCAAACCGACACAGGUAGUCAAGAUGAGAAUUCUAAGGUGAGCGAGCGAACUCUCGUUAAGGAACUCGGCAAAAUGACCCCGUAACUUCGGGAGAAGGGGUGCUCUUUAGGGUUCACGCCCAGAAGAGCCGCAGUGAAUAGGCCCAAGCGACUGUUUAUCAAAAACACAGGUCUCUGCUAAACCGUAAGGUGAUGUAUAGGGGCUGACGCCUGCCCGGUGCUGGAAGGUUAAGAGGAGUGGUUAGCUUCUGCGAAGCUACGAAUCGAAGCCCCAGUAAACGGCGGCCGUAACUAUAACGGUCCUAAGGUAGCGAAAUUCCUUGUCGGGUAAGUUCCGACCCGCACGAAAGGCGUAACGAUUUGGGCACUGUCUCAACGAGAGACUCGGUGAAAUCAUAGUACCUGUGAAGAUGCAGGUUACCCGCGACAGGACGGAAAGACCCCGUGGAGCUUUACUGUAGCCUGAUAUUGAAAUUCGGCACAGCUUGUACAGGAUAGGUAGGAGCCUUUGAAACGUGAGCGCUAGCUUACGUGGAGGCGUUGGUGGGAUACUACCCUAGCUGUGUUGGCUUUCUAACCCGCACCACUUAUCGUGGUGGGAGACAGUGUCAGGCGGGCAGUUUGACUGGGGCGGUCGCCUCCUAAAAGGUAACGGAGGCGCUCAAAGGUUCCCUCAGAAUGGUUGGAAAUCAUUCAUAGAGUGUAAAGGCAUAAGGGAGCUUGACUGCGAGACCUACAAGUCGAGCAGGGUCGAAAGACGGACUUAGUGAUCCGGUGGUUCCGCAUGGAAGGGCCAUCGCUCAACGGAUAAAAGCUACCCCGGGGAUAACAGGCUUAUCUCCCCCAAGAGUUCACAUCGACGGGGAGGUUUGGCACCUCGAUGUCGGCUCAUCGCAUCCUGGGGCUGUAGUCGGUCCCAAGGGUUGGGCUGUUCGCCCAUUAAAGCGGUACGCGAGCUGGGUUCAGAACGUCGUGAGACAGUUCGGUCCCUAUCCGUCGUGGGCGUAGGAAAUUUGAGAGGAGCUGUCCUUAGUACGAGAGGACCGGGAUGGACAUACCUCUGGUGUACCAGUUGUCGUGCCAACGGCAUAGCUGGGUAGCUAUGUAUGGACGGGAUAAGUGCUGAAAGCAUCUAAGCAUGAAGCCCCCCUCAAGAUGAGAUUUCCCAACUUCGGUUAUAAGAUCCCUCGAAGAUGACGAGGUUAAUAGGUUCGAGGUGGAAGCGUGGUGACACGUGGAGCUGACGAAUACUAAUCGAUCGAAGACUUAAUCAAUUUUUUAAA